ACAAUCUCACAUAAAUUGUUUACGUGGAUAUACAGUCAUAUUCACCAACAUUUUUAGUAAAAGUUACGUGAAUUUCUGGUGAGCAUUACUAACGUCACGUAACAAUCGUCGUUUGUUCAAAACAGAUCAGUUACGUGAUUUUUCACGUGGAUAUGACGUGAUGAUUUUUUAGAGUGUAUACUGCGCAUGCCAACACCCGAGUUUCACUCACUCGACCGCUCGCUCUUGUAGGUAGGUUCUUCUCGUCUGAACAUCAAGCGUGGAAGGUUAUCAAAAAGCAUUCGGAAUAAGUACAGGUGAGGUGAUACAGAUAAGUGAUGAUUUGAUAACAGUGGUACAGCUUUUACUGGCGUGGUAAAAUUUCACUGCUCAGUAUCUUUGAAAACGUGAUAAGCGAAUCUCUAUAAUAGUGAAUCUCUGCGGUAGUGAAAAAAAAAAUGUGCUCCAUAGCUAAACUGUGUGAAAUUUUCGGCAGCGUCAUUGAAUUCACGAACAGUUUAGGAUUCUCGAAUAAGAUCGUCAAACGCCCUUUGGACAUGUGAAAUUGAUUUACCAAAUUUCGGUUUCGUCAUCAUAUGAUGUAUGAUUGGUAAUAUGUAAUUGGUCGGAUAAGCAUAAUGGGUCGGAUACAGUUUAAGCCUGCCACUAUGAUCAUAUAAUCAUCGCACUUUGUUGUAUUCAUCAAAACAAUUAAAAAUGUCUUUGAAUAUGUAUGAAAAAGUUGGCAUAUGUUUCACUUCAAUUUGAAAAAAUAUAUUUAAACAUCAGCAUUACAAUGGGGACGGUUCCUUCAUCAGUGCUGCCACCUGGAAAAGUUUCGAGAAAAAGUAAAAUCAUGGAAACUUGACAAGACAUGAUAUAGAAAAUGAGGUUUAAAAUACCUCUAGAACGUUAUAAUUUUUUGUUAGUCAAACAAUUUAUAGCUUGUAGGGUUAGAAAUUAAACAAUCUCAAGUAUUAACUGCUUAUUAAAAAAUAUAAAAAUCGAGAUAUCAUGUCCAUUUUGUGUGCUUUUGCAAUUCUAACCCCUCAAACCAAAAUUUGUUUGAAAAACAUCUUUAAUUUUUGUUUUAUAACAAAAAUAUAAUUCAUUUCCUAUACCACACCCUGUGAAAUUUCAAUGAUUCCACUUUUUCUCUCGAUGACGACAGCUGGCGGUCUUCUCCUCACCUAUGCUGUAAUGUCGUAAGCUAUCGAUUACACUAAUAUGUGUAACCUGGCAAUUGCACAUAUACUAUUGUCUGUGUACAAAACAGACACAACCAUGUAACGGAGACAAUGGGAAGAAAGGCGGAAAGGGAAUAACAUGCGGCAACUUCAAAUUGCUUGGCUGACUUGAGUUUAUUUUUUUGCCAACGAAGAGCUGUCAAGUUAUUUCAAGCUACUUAAAGUCCAGGCUGAUUUGAGGUUGAAUUAAGAAACUACACAUCGACUGGAAGUAGGGUGGAAAGGUUGAAUAUCAAACAACCAUCUAGGAAGCGUUUGCAAACUACUUCGAGUAUUCAAUGGACAUGGCUGAUAAGAGCAUUGUGUUUCCAUAGGGUAAGUCGUUUCCAAUCAAAAAUUGAAGAAAGGAUAUUCCUUCUAAUAUCUAAAGAUGUGGGUAUAUAAACAUCUUUGGAUGCAUAUAUUGAGCCAUGAAAAUGAAAUACAUUUAGCUUACAUCAAACAAAAUGUCUGCUGGAGGGGCAACGAUAACAACUACUAACCGCCUCGAUAUGUGGUCACAUUACCUCCUACUCAAUUUGUCGAAAUUGUACAUGAGGAGAUUCUUUUCAAUUGGAAGUAGCGGCUGAUGUUCAAUUUUUUGUUUAACUUAGUAAAUCUUGCAAUGUUUCUGUGCAUUUUCGCUUUUUUUUUGUUGAUGAACUUGAGUAUGCUUUUUCCGAUUUUAAUAUUAAAUACUCUCUUAAUUUUUCUCUCGUGUUUAAAUUUAUCAGUUUGUGGUCUCUUCUUGUGCAGUGUUCGACAGUGUUCCUUUGAUAAGAUGCAUGCAAAAUGGCGUCUAUAUUCGUAUCCGUGUACUCUUGUGCCAACGAUGGUUCUUAAGGUUUUGACAGUCGCACUCUGAACGGUUAUUAUGUGCCCUUUUAGAAGCGUCUUCUGGGUCGCCUAUUCUUCUUUCAACGUUGCAACUUCUUUCAAAAUGCCAGACACGAUUCCUUCGUUGCAUAACUCUGUGUUAGCAUUUUUAAGGAGUUCAUCUACACGGGUCUACAUUUUGUACCGUUCAAUUUCUGGAACAGCCUCCACAUUCUUGUCUUCUAAUUCUUAUUCAAUUGAAAGAAAUAGUUUAACUAUGUCUUCAUUUGUGUUGUUAGCAUUUUAUUGAUGGUACCUGUGACGUCAAUGCUUGUAUAGGUUUUGACAUUCGCACUCUCAACGGACAUUAUGUGUCCUUGAGAAGCGUCUUCUUGUGUCGCCAAUCGUGACUAUUGCGAUUUUCUUCAAAGCAGAUUUAUAAUCUUUCAGUAUCUCCGACACAUUUCCUUUAAUGCAUAACUCUGCCAUAGCAUUUUUAAUUGGCAUGAAAUAUUUAUCUACAUCUGGCCACUUUUUGAAUAGCUCAUUUUUCGGAGUAGCCUUCACACUCUUAACUUCUAAUUCUGAUUCGAUUGAUAGAAAUAGUUUGUUUAUGCCUUCAUUUGUGUUUUAGUGCCGUAAUCCUUCCACUAAUAGCAACUGGCGUCCAAUUCUUUGAUAUUGUUUCUUGAUCACUCAAUAUCGGAUAAGCCAAGCUUAUCCAACUCAAAAUGACAUUUUCUCGACAAAUAUCUGACGAGAAUUGAUUGCUUUCGGAAGUCUUUUGUCUUUAAAAUGAAACUUUUUUUGUUACCGAUAAGAGCAUCCUUUCACUCUGCGUCCUUGACGAUAUCAAUAUUAAGAUGUAUGCAAGAUAGCGUUGAUAUUUAUAGCCGUGUUCUCCUGUUAGGUCAAUGGUUUUAUAGGUUUUAAUAUUCGCCCUCCUAACGGAUAUUAUAUGUCUCCUGGGUCGACUAUUGUGAGUACUGCGAUUUUGUUCAAAGCAGAUUUAUAAUCUUUUAGUAUCUCAGACACAUUUCCUUUAUUGCAUAACUCUGCGAUAGCAUUUUUAAUUGGCAUGAAAUGUUUAUCUACUUCUGGCAACUUUUUGAAUAGAUCAAUAUUCGGAGAAGCAUUCACACUCUUAACUUCUAAUGCUGAUUUGAUUGAAAGAAAUAUUUUAACUAUGCCUUCAUUUGUGCUAUUCUUGUCGUAUCCUUUUAUCGUUGUCAAUACUUGUAUAGGUUUUAACAUUCGCACUCAACGAACAUUGAGAAGUGUCUUCUUGUGUCGCCAAUCGUGACUACUGCGAUUUUCUUCAAACCAGAUUUAAAAUCUUCCAGUAUCUCAGACACAUUUCCUUUGUUGCAUAACUCUAUAAUAGCAUUUUUAAUUGGCAUGAAAUGUUUAUCUACAUUUGGCCACUUUUUGAAUUGUUCAAUUGUGGGCUGGGCGGCAGCACUGGAUUUCGAAUCAACACAAUUAAAACACCUUUUCGUUGCGGAAGUUAAAAUCGGAUCCAUUUACUGCAUUAACUUAACUGCACUCAACAAUCUAACAACUGACUUACUGUACUCAACAAUCUACCAACUGACCCCAUAUGUCUCUCCGAAGUAAUAUUCUCCAGUCGAAACACUACACCAUCACCGUGCGCGGUACUGGUUUGUUCUAUGUCCCGCAAUAGCGGAGACAGAAAAAUCAAAUUGUACCGAAUAAAAAUCCCGAGUUUUCGUAAGGUUGCCCCCACGGCAACCAUAAUGCACUCCCAGCACGAAUGCAACACUUGUUUCAGAACAAGGGGCAUAAGGCUCGUAAAAAUGGACAUAAUUUACAUGAAGACAAUUAUGAGACAUUGCAACACUCUUGACUUCAAAUUCUGAUUUAAUUGAAGAAAUAGUUUAACUGGGGGUACCGUAGCACAGUUGGCUACACGUUCGCCUAACAAGCGGAUGGUCAUGGGUUCGAUUCCCAGCCCCUCCACCAAACCCUCGUCAGUCGUCGGAUCCGCAGCCCAAACGGUGGCGUUUUGGGGUACGUGCCUCACCGUCACGGCUGCCUGAUGACGACUGACAACUUGUUCUUCUCGGAGGCAUUCCUCCAACGUUAUCCGGAUAAAUGGAAACCGAACAAUGCAACGAUCGUUGGAUACACGACAUGGACAAACGGACGCAAUGGACUCACGAUGACAACGACAACAACGGCAACGACAACAAUAAAUGAGUAAUGGAAAAUCUAAAAAAUAGAUUCUGUGUGGAUUCUGUAUAGCAGAAUACCAUAGUAGAUCUCGGCACAGUCGCGGUUAAGUAACACAGAGUGCCUAUCAAAUAAAUAAAGGAAUAAAAAAAUUUUUCGCCUAUUGUGAGUACUGCGAUUUUCUUCAAACCAGAUUUAUAGUCUUCCAGUAUCUUCGACACAUUUCCCUUAUUGCAUAACUCUGUUGACGAUAUCAAUAAUAAGAUGUAUGCAAGAUUACGUUGGUAUUCGAAUCCGUGUUCUUCUGUGACGCCAAUGCUUUUAUAGGUUCUUAAAUUCGCACUCUUAACGACCAUUAUGUGUCCUCCAGAAACGUCUUAUGGGUCCUGCAUCCUGUCUCUCAUAGUGAAAAUUGAAGCUGCGUCCUUGACGAUAUCAAUAAUAAGAUGUAUGCAAGAUUGCGCUGGUAUUCGAAUCCGUGUUCUUCGGUGACGCCAAUGCUUUUAUAGGUUCUAAUAUUCGCACUCCUAACGGACAUUAUGUGUCUUCAUGAAGCGUCCUAUGGGUCGUCACUGUAACUUCUGGGAUUUCCAUUACCGCAGCUUUGUAAUAUUUCAAUAUGUAAUAAAUUUGGUAAUACAACUUUUCAAUAGACUUUUAUCUUUUCGUUUUCGCGAUGAAUAAAAUACGCACUGUACUUACUUGCCCGACGAGUAGUACAAACUAUGCAUGAUCGCGCUUGUCUCAACCGAACGAUUUUAUCUAAGGCAUGGUAAGUGCCAUAAACUAAGUUUCGCGGUGCAAAUUUGGUUACGAAAUGUUUAGUUUAUUUUAGCUCAUCACCACAAUGUUAAACUUUUGUCUUUUCUCGAUUAGCUUGAUACAUUUCAAUGAUUGUGCUCUGGAAUCUUUCAAACAUUUCGUAACUGUUACUACAACUGGCGAAAUGUAAAAGUAUAUUAAAUUUUUAAGGAUUUUUUUCGCAACAGUGUUACGAGAACUUGUUGCUUCAUCACAUAUUAUUUGCUUUGGAAUACAAUUAGAACUUCAAUGAUCGUUUCUAUCUGUUCAUUCUCUAUUUUGUUGACUUUGUCUACUAUUGUCGAAAUUGUCUCUUUUUUCAAAUGGCGAUCUGUCAUAUUUUCGUCCCGUUAUGGAGGUCUUUGAAGGAUGUCGCUCGUAAUUUGCAUAUUUACAGUUCUCGUGGUUCUUAUAAAAAAAAGCAAAUAGAUGUACAAAAAAUACGAAGAAACUAACCGAACUAUUUUGAGUCUAUUCCACAGAAAACUUCUCUAAGGUCCCGGAUAACACACAUUGUACAUAAAGUCAAAAAAUGGGGGGAGGGGGUAUAUGAAUAACAAACAUUUUCUUCUUUCAAAAUAUUUUCAGAAUUAUCUUCCAUAGCGAAGUGCAAAUAGGCCAGGUCUUACUGAGCGAUCCACUCCAGAUACAGGUUCCAGGCAAAAAAACAACAUAAGAAAAAUCAAAAUUGAUAGCAAAGAGUGUUAGAAGUGAUGAUAUUCAGUGUUGUUGCAUUUUCUACUAUUACUUAUUGCAAACGAGUAUAGGAAAAAAAACUUGUGCAUCUAUUGAGUGAUGACGACCAGAAGAAUAAUCUGCCCUACGUCAAUGUCACUUAUAAAAAAAAAAAGAAAGAAAAACGAAAAACAUUUGCGUAUCCAUCCAAAAGUACCCUAUAGUACGAUAUUAAUGGUUUGUUGCAUGGAGAAACAAACGAAAACAUGGACGAAUAUGGACCUAGGAUGUUCGUAUAUGGGAUAUGGUGUUUUAAGUGCGAGUUUGAUCCCUUCCAAGGAUGUGAUCGGUCGCGGUACAAUCUGUCUGCUUGUUUGAGACUGAUCAAGUCUAGUUUGACAAGCAUGUUCACACGAUCGAUGGACAUAAAGGAUUGUUACCACCCCAAGCCAUUUCUUUCAUAUCGCCCUAACCAUGUCUGAGAGGAACCAAGUUUCCCAAGUUUGUAUGAAAUAUGAAUACAAAUGGUUAAAGUAGCACCAAAAACAUCAUACUUUUCUCGUACUAAUUCAUUCUUGGAUGCGCAAAUAUAAACUAAAAAUUAAGGGGGGCAGAUGUGGAGGCCAAACAAGUUUGACACCACUGUUGGAUGCACUAGGGCUUAGUGCGUCAUCACUCAACGUGCACAUGAACCAGCCGAGCUUCACUAAGCUGAAUUCCUCUCGGGGACGUUAAUUCUUCGUUCAUAUAUUUGCAUCAGUUCUCUCACUCCAAAAAAAUAAUUAGUAGGGUAGGUUUAAUUUUAAUGAGUUGAAUAAAGCGAUUCUUGUCUGAACCUUAA